CGGCUGGCUGCUCCAGUCUGCGCCGUCCAUGCGUCUCGGGUGUCCUAUCCCGGAGGAUACAUUUUUCUUUUUCAGAAAAGGGAAACAGGAAAACGGGGACGAUUAGACUCUAUCUAGGGGAGCCAUGUGGAAAAACCAGCUUCAGGCUGGAGUUUAGCUCACUGCAACCUCUGCCUCCUGGGUUCAAGCAAUUCUCCUCCCUCAGCCUUCUGAGUAGCUGGGACUACAGGCUUUAGAACUGGCGGCUUUAUAAGAAGAGAAAGAGAGAUCUGAGCUAGCACACUCAACCCCCUUGCUCUGUGAUGCCCUGUGCCAUCUCGGGACUCUGCAGAGGGUCCCCACCAGCAAGAAGGCCUUCACCAGAGCGGCCCCUUAACCUUGGACUUCCCAGCCUCCAUAACUGUCUGACUGGAUCCAGAAGUUCCAGUGAAGCCGAUUUCUAUCUCUAGUCUUUGUGAUCCUUUCCUCUCCAGCAAGGCUUUUCCUUGCCAUGACAAGACACCUGGCAGCAUCUCCAGGCUUACUCAACCAGUACCCUUGAUGGGAAAAGGGCUUUUCUUUCUUAAUUUUCCAGCAAAAGCCUCAAGAUUGACUCUGGAGUAAAUUGCACAUGGCCUCAAAUUCUUUGCAGCUCCUUCCACUAUGAGGUGGCAUGUAUUACUCCAAUCCCUGCAUCUGGGCUGGAUUUGUGACUUGUUUUGAACAAUAGAAUGUGGUAAAAGUGACAGUGAAAAUAUAUGAGUUUCAAGCCUAAGACAACAUGCUUUUCAGCCUUUGCUCUGGAUUUCUUUGAAUGCUGCUGUCACAUAAACAAGACUGAAAUAGCCUACUAGAGGAUGGG
rnacentral:lncRNA from 1 species